CCGCGCCCCUCUCCUCUCUCUCCCUCCAAACCCUAGCUAGACCGCGCCCGCCUCCCUGCCCCGCCGCCGUCGUCUCCUCCACCCGGCCAGCCGCCGCCGCUCGCGCCCGUCUCCUCCGGCCAGCCUCCGCCCGCAACCUCCCCCCUCCCGUUUUCAGAAGGGAAGGGAAGGAAGAGAAGAGGGAGAGCGAGCGGGUCAGGCGACGGGAAGGGAAGAGGAGAGGGAGAGCGAGCGGGUCAGGUGACGGCCAUGGCCAUGGCGCUCGCAGUCUCUCCUUCCCCAUUCAUCCUCUCGAUCCGCUGCCGUCGCCACCCCUAUCUCUCCUCCUCACACAUCCUCUCUCCUCGUCACCUCUGGCCGGAGGAGAACACUGCGGUGGCAUCUCCUGGCGAUGGCAGUGGGGGCGGGUGAGGCUGCAAGGCGACGAGCCAAGGCGGCAGAGGAUCCGGUUCGUAUGCUGUUGUUGCUGCCGAUGGACGGAUGAGGCGCUCUCAGAUCACUCCCCACGGGCCUCCUUCGUCUUCCAAGUCCCAACCAUGGCCGGCUCCAACCCCUCCUCUGUUAUUGUUGUGCUCCUGUAGGAGAAGAAGAAGAAUAGGCAUGAUCUCUGUAUACAUCCAGUGUAUUUGGUUGGAUUACUUUCGUUCUCUGAGAAAUUUGGUGAGCCCAAGAUUUAAUUUCCUUGUUGAAUAGACAACAUAUAGGAUGAGAAUGUGUACGUUUGCUGAUUUUGGUGGUUUGGACAUGGAUUUGACGGCAGAGAAGGGACACAGGAAGAGUAUUUCGUGGAGGGAUGUGUCCAACACUAUCGUAUGAAUUAAAUACACACUACCUGUUUGAUGAAAUGCAAGUAUAAUUCUCGUUAUACUUUGGUUUCACAAUCUUUCUAUUGUUUUUCUUCAUGUAGCAUCAUUUUUUAUUGCAGGCAUUGAUAUAUUUCUAUUUGUGCUCAUGCUAGGCAAUAUGAAGUCUUUAGUCUACACAUUAUCUGAUUUUUAGCUGCUCAUUAUCCCAUCAUUUUUUUUAUUGCAGGCAUUGAAAAAUAAAAGAAAUAAGAGACCCACGGCCUGUACUUAAGGUCUAGGAUCUGCUAGGUUGGUGGAUCUGCGAGCUUGCGGUUCCUGUUGUUGAUCAACCGCUGCUUCGGUUCGGUGGAGGUUUAAUCAACCAAGUGAGUGCAGUUGCAAACCAGCUGUGAGGCUUAUAGGAGCACUUGCGCCAUCUUUGUAAUGGCAAACACCAUUCCCUUGAUUGUUCAUUAGUCAUCUUCUCCUCAUGAUAUGAUACUGGAAGGAUGUCAUGAUGGAACGGUUGCUUUAUGGAGGUCUCCACAAACUUGCCGUCAGAAGACAUUUUAAUGGUACUGUUGAAUCUGUUCCCACCAGAGCCCUCUCGUGGGCACGAUAUAUAUGUAAGUGAGGAAAACACAAACACCCUUGUCACUACUUGAGAGGAUGGCCUAAAAUUCUAGGAUUUAAGGUAGCAUAAACUCUACUAGGAACUGUGCAAUCAAUAGUUCAAAUCUUUGUUGUCGACAAAACUACUGUUUGUCAGGCCAUUUCUGAUAGCAUAUAUGGAGCUGUGUCGAGGCUUAUGCUUUGUAACAGAUGCAAAUUAAUAAGACGUCGCCUUUAAAUCGCUCGUGCCACCGCCUGUUAUUUUCGUGUCCCGCCGAGGGC